rnacentral:tRNA from 4 species
GCGCUUGUAGCUCAGCUGGAUAGAGCAACGGCCUUCUAAGCCGUAGGCCACAGGUUCAAGUCCUGUCAAGCGCACCA